rnacentral:rRNA from 1 species
UAAAGAAUAUUGGUCAAUGGACGAAAGUCUGAACCAGCCAUGCCGCGUGGAGGAUGAAGGUCCUCUGGAUUGUAAACUUCUUUUAUAUGGGACGAAAAAAGGCCUUUCUAGGUCGUCUGACGGUACCAUAUGAAUAAGCACCGGCUAACUCCGUUCCAGCAGCCGCGGUAAUACGGAGGGUGCAAGCGUUAUCCGGAUUCACUGGGUUUAAAGGGUGCGUAGGUGGGUUGGUAAGUCAGUGGUGAAAUCUCCGAGCUUAACUUGGAAACUGCCAUUGAUACUAUCAGUCUUGAAUAUUGUGGAGGUUAGCGGAAUAUGUCAUGUAGCGGUGAAAUGCUUAGAUAUGACAUAGAACACCAAUUGCGAAGGCAGCUGGCUACACAUAUAUUGACACUGAGGCACGAAAGCGUGGGGAUCAAA